AGUGAACGCUGGCGGCAGGCCUAACACAUGCAAGUCGAACGGUAGCACAGAGGAGCUUGCUCCUUGGGUGACGAGUGGCGGACGGGUGAGGAAUACAUCGGGAUCUACCUUUUCGUGGGGGAUAACGUAGGGAAACUUACGCUAAUACCGCAUACGCCCUACGGGGGAAAGCGGCGGACCGCAAGGCGUCGCGCGAUGAGAUGAACCGAUGUCCGAUUAGCUAGUUGGCGGGGUAAGAGCCCACCAAGGCGACGAUCGGUAGCUGAGCUGAGAGGAUGAUCAGCCACACUGGAACUGAGACCCGGUCCAGACUCCUACGGGAGGCAGCAGUGGGGAAUAUUGGACAAUGGGCGCAAGCCUGAUCCAGCCAUGCCGCGUGGGUGAAGAAGGCCUUCGGGUUGUAAAGCCCUUUUGUCCGGAAAGAAAAGCAUUCGGUUAAUACCCUGGGGUGAUGACGGUACCGGAAGAAUAAGCACCGGCUAACUUCGUGCCAGCAGCCGCCGUAAGAC
rnacentral:rRNA from 1 species